rnacentral:tRNA from 1 species
CCAGAUAGCUCAGAUGGUAGAGCGGAGGACUGAAAAUCCUUGUGUCCCUGGUUCGAUUCCUGGUCUGGC